GGUUUGAAGUUUGCGAACGGCCAUUGGAUUAAGGUGACCGGCCAGCGCAUGUAUCCUCUCAAAUUUCCGAUUUUGGUAGUUGAUUAUUUGAGUUAAAGUUGUGAGAGUUGUUAGAAGUUGGCUUAGGUUAAGUGUUAGCUAGAAGCCUCUUGAAAGGUUUUGAAAUUAGGUAAUUAAUUAGGAUUGAUUUGUUAAUUAAAAGGAUGAAGCUAUGCGAUGAGUAAUUGUUAACGCACUGUAAUGUAUGCCUUGCUUGUUUGGUGAGUGAAUUAUUUUUCACAAUGUAUUUUGGUAAGCCAUGGCUAUGAAUGCAAAUGCCUGAAAUGAUGAGUUUGUUGCACAUGCUAUGAAGUAUUAGAGCUGAUUUUGGCAAUGGUUUUUACAGGUAGUUCAUGGAAGGGAAACUAACUUGGUCUUUGAAUGACAAUGGAUGUCGUGGAAAUUAUUUUAGCAUGUUAGGACUUACUUGGAUUUAGUCUCCCUAUAAUUUUUGUGACUCUUGAGAUGGAUUGACAUUGUUUUAAAUGUAUGGUUUACGUAUUGGCAUAAAGUGUUGUAAUGCAAUUUUCGGUUCAAAUGCAAAUGUAUUUGGAAUUAGAAUGGAGUUAGAGUUGUAAUAGCGAAAUGGUGUUUGGAAUUUUAAUGUUAG
rnacentral:lncRNA from 1 species